AAUGGGGGCAACCCUGAUCCAGCCAUGCCGCGUGAGUGAAGAAGGCCUUAGGGUUGUAAAGCUCUUUCAGCAGGGACGAUAAUGACGGUACCUGCAGAAGAAGCCCCGGCUAACUCCGUGCCAGCAGCCGCGGUAAGACGGAGGGGGCUAGCGUUGUUCGGAAUUACUGGGCGUAAAGCGCGCGUAGGCGGCGCAUUAAGUCAGAGGUGAAAGCCCGGGGCUCAACCCCGGAAAUGCCUUUGAGACUGGUGUGCUUGAGUGCGGAAGAGGUGAGUGGAAUUCCCAGUGUAGAGGUGAGAUUCGUAGAUAUUGGGAAGAACACCAGUGGCGAAGGCGGCUCACUGGUCCGUAACUGACGCUGAGGUGCGAAAGCGUGGGGAGCAAAUAGGAUU
rnacentral:rRNA from 1 species